AUGAAACGCGCACUGAGAGCAUCAUCGUUUCAUCGCCGGAUCCCGUAUUCCCGACGGCACCACCUUCCCCUCCCCCUGCUCCCGCGCUCGCCCGCGAAAUCGCUCGGCCUUCCCUCCAGAUUGGCGCGCAAUCGCUCACUCCUUCCCUCCAAAAUCGCCCGCCUCCCGUCCCCCGCCUCCCAAUUCGCCCAUCGACGAGCAGGCCGGCGGCACCGGUGAGAUGUCCCGCCGAGGAAGAUCCGCAGCGCAGGUUGGCGGCGGCCCUGCGAAGGUUGGCGGCAGCAGUACUUCUCCCGCAGCUCCAUCUCCGGCGGCAGCGCCACCGCAGCCCCCUGUUUUCCCGUCGGAAUUCACCUGCAGAUGCAGCACCGCUGCCGGCGCCAACGCAGUGGGGCUCGUCGUACUCGGAAUCUCCACCAACAGCAGGUUUGUGGCCUGGAUCUAGAGAAAGCAGCGGCCCAAGUCAUUCCCCACAUGGAAAUCAAUCCGCAAAUCCAUGUGGACAAGUGGCAGGAAAUAGGAAGGACUUGGUGGAUCAUAUUUGGAACAAGCUCGGGCGCAAUCCAAAUAUAUCUACAGUUUGAGAUAUAAUGUAUGCAAUCAUUUUCAUAUAUGCGAAUAUUUAACAUCGUAUGAAUGUUGAAGUUAAACGACACAUUUUUUGGAAAGCAAUGCUUAUUUACCUA